rnacentral:rRNA from 1 species
CCUACGGGGGGCAGCAGUGGGGAAUAUUGGGCAAUGGGGGCAACCCUGAUCCAGCCAUGCCGCGUGUGUGAAGAAGGCCCUCGGGUUGUAAAGCACUUUCAGUGAGGAAGAACGCCUGGUGGUUAAUACCCAGCAGGAAAGACAUCACUCACAGAAGAAGCACCGGCUAACUCCGUGCCAGCAGCCGCGGUAAUACGGAGGGUGCGAGCGUUAAUCGGAAUUACUGGGCGUAAAGCGCGCGUAGGUGGCUUGAUAAGCCGGUUGUGAAAGCCCCGGGCUCAACCUGGGAACGGCAUCCGGAACUGUCAAGCUAGAGUGCAGGAGAGGAAGGUAGAAUUCCCGGUGUAGCGGUGAAAUGCGUAGAGAUCGGGAGGAAUACCAGUGGCGAAGGCGGCCUUCUGGACUGACACUGACACUGAGGUGCGAAAGCGUGGGUAGCAAACAGGAUUAGAUACCCUUGUAGUC